rnacentral:rRNA from 1 species
GACGAACGCUGGCGGCGUGCUUAACACAUGCAAGUCGAACGGAAAGGCCCUGCUUUUGUGGGGUGCUCGAGUGGCGAACGGGUGAGUAACACGUGAGUAACCUGCCCUUGACUUUGGGAUAACUUCAGGAAACUGGGGCUAAUACCGGAUAGGAGCUCCUGCUGCAUGGUGGGGGUUGGAAAGUUUCGGCGGUUGGGGAUGGACUCGCGGCUUAUCAGCUUGUUGGUGGGGUAGUGGCUUACCAAGGCUUUGACGGGUAGCCGGCCUGAGAGGGUGACCGGCCACAUUGGGACUGAGAUACGGCCCAUACUCCUACGGGAGGCAACAGUGGGGAAUAUUGCACACUGGGCGGAAGCCUGAUGCAGCAACGCCGCGUGCGGGAUGACGGCCUUCGGGUUGUAAGCCGCUUUCGCCUGUGACGAAGCGUGAGUGACGGUAAUGGGUAAAGAAGCACGGGCUAACUACGUG